CCUGUCUCAGCCUCUCAGAAGAGAACAUCUUCAUAGGAGAGGAGCUCUAGGAACUGAGAAUGCAGGAAAUUGGAAGAAAUAUACAUUAAUAGCCAAGAAUUUAGACAGGACUGGGGAGCCAGGAACAAACAUUUGAGAUGUUGGGCUUUUAAUGGAGUUGCCACGGAUGACAGCAUCAUGAGAAAUGAGGUUUAAAAAUGGAGGAUUGUUCGAGGAGGGAGGAGGGCUGAUCUGAAAGCCACAAGGAGGACAAAUGGAACACCUACCCCCACUACAGGCUGGAAGGAAACAUGGAUGAACAUGGCCAGGGAGAGAGGAAAAGGAUGAAAGAACAAGGUGCCUACCAUGGAGGAUGCAAAAGAAAUUUUUCCCCGAGAACUGUAGUCCCAGCUAUCUCCUCUGCAGAACUCUGUGCUAAUGAUAGAAUUUGCAUACUAAUGAUAAUUGCAACCAAGAAAGCUGUAUUCUCUUUCUACUCGAGGUAAUUGAAUAAAGAAGUGCUGUGGGGCAAUUACUGCAGUUAGUUAUAGAAAAUUCUCUGAAAAAUAAGACCAAAACAUAUAUACUCAAAUUCAGUAUGAUUGCAUUUAUCAACAUUAUUUGCUUCUUUUAAAUCAUAAUAAUAAUAGACAGAAUUAUUGCUCUGGGUUCUUUGACUGUGUUAACCCAGUCAUCUCAAUGGCUCUAUUAUUUAGGCUUAUAUUUUUCCAUUUUAUGGAUAAGAAAAAAAAGAAGUUUAACAAUGUGCCCAAUAACACAGGUAUGAACUUUAAAAAGGCUAUUAAGAGAUCAU